rnacentral:rRNA from 1 species
AAAAGUUAAAAGGAGCUGGUAUCAGGCACACCCCAGGUAGCCCAUUACACCUUGCUUAACCACACCCCUACGGGAUACAGCAGUGACUAACAUUAAGCUAUAAACGAAAGUUUGACUGAGUCAUAAUUUAACAGGGUUGGUAAAUUUCGUGCCAGCCACCGCGGUCAUACGAUUAACCCAAAUUAACAGAUCACCGGCGUAAAGCGUGUUUAAGUAUAAUACUCUAAUAAAGUUAAAACCUGACUAAGCUGUAAAACGUUAUAGUUAAUACCAAAAUAUGCAACUAAAGUGACUUUAAUCUGCACUGAACACACGAUAGCUAAGGCACAAACUGGGAUUAGAUACCCCACUAUGCUUAGCCCUAAACCCAAAUAGUUAAAAAACAAAACUAUUCGCCAGGGAACUACUAGCUAAUGCUUAAAACUCAAAGGACUUGGCGGUGCCCUAAACCCACCUAGAGGAGCCUGUUCUAUAAUCGAUAAACCCCGAUAAACCCCACCUCUUCUUGCCAAUACAGCCUAUAUACCGCCAUCGUCAGCUCACCCCAAUAGGGAUCCAAAGUAGGCAAAACUAUAAAACCAUAAAAACGUUAGGUCAAGGUGUAGCAUAUGAAGAGGGAAGCAAUGGGCUACAUUUUCUAAACUAGAACAUAACGAACGGCCUUAUGAAAUUUAAGACCUGAAGGAGGAUUUAGUAGUAAAUUAGGAAUAGAGAGCCUAAUUGAAAUAGGC